rnacentral:piRNA from 1 species
UGAUAUCCUCUACCUUGCCGCAC